rnacentral:rRNA from 1 species
CCUACGGGAGGCUGCAGUAGGGAAUAUUGCUCAAUGGGGGAAACCCUGAAGCAGCAACGCCGCGUGGAGGAUGAAGGUUUUCGGAUUGUAAACUCCUUUUGUUAGAGAAGAUAAUGACGGUAUCUAACGAAUAAGCACCGACUAACUCCGUGCCAGCAGCCGCGGUAAUACGGAGGGUGCAAGCGUUACUCGGAAUCACUGGGCGUAAAGAGCGCGUAGGCGGGAUAGCAAGUCAGAUGUGAAAUCCUAUGGCUUAACCAUAGAACUGCAUUUGAAACUGUUAUUCUAGAGUAUGGGAGAGGUAGGUGGAAUUCUUGGUGUAGGGGUAAAAUCCGUAGAGAUCAAGAGGAAUACUCAUUGCGAAGGCGACCUACUAGAACAUAACUGACGCUGAUGCGCGAAAGCGUGGGGAGCAAACAGGAUUAGAUACCCGAGUAGUC